GCUUAACACAUGCAAGUCGAGGGGCAGCAUUUUAGUUUGCUUGCAAACUGAAGAUGGCGACCGGCGCACGGGUGAGUAACACGUAUCCAACCUGCCGAUAACUCCGGGAUAGCCUUUCGAAAGAAAGAUUAAUACCGGAUAGCAUACGAAUAUCGCAUGAUAUUUUUAUUAAAGAAUUUCGGUUAUCGAUGGGGAUGCGUUCCAUUAGUUUGUUGGCGGGGUAACGGCCCACCAAGACUACGAUGGAUAGGGGUUCUGAGAGGAAGGUCCCCCACAUUGGAACUGAGACACGGUCCAAACUCCUACGGGAGGCAGCAGUGAGGAAUAUUGGUCAAUGGGCGCGAGCCUGAACCAGCCAAGUAGCGUGAAGGAUGAAGGCUCUAUGGGUCGUAAACUUCUUUUAUAUGGGAAUAAAGUUUUCCACGUGUGGAAUUUUGUAUGUACCAUAUGAAUAAGGAUCGGCUAACUCCGUGCCAGCAGCCGCGGUAAUACGGAGGAUCCGAGCGUUAUCCGGAUUUAUUGGGUUUAAAGGGAGCGUAGGUGGAUUGUUAAGUCAGUUGUGAAAGUUUGCGGCUCAACCGUAAAAUUGCAGUUGAAACUGGCAGUCUUGAGUACAGUAGAGGUGGGCGGAAUUCGUGGUGUAGCGGUGAAAUGCUUAGAUAUCACGAAGAACUCCGAUUGCGAAGGCAGCUCACUAGACUGUCACUGACACUGAUGCUCGAAAGUGUGGGUAUCAAACAGGAUUAGAUACCCUGGUAGUCCACACAGUAAACGAUGAAUACUCGCUGUUUGCGAUAUACAGUAAGCGGCCAAGCGAAAGCAUUAAGUAUUCCACCUGGGGAGUACGCCGGCAACGGUGAAACUCAAAGGAAUUGACGGGGGCCCGCACAAGCGGAGGAACAUGUGGUUUAAUUCGAUGAUACGCGAGGAACCUUACCCGGGCUUAAAUUGCAACAGAAUAUAUUGGAAACAGUAUAGCCGUAAGGCUGUUGUGAAGGUGCUGCAUGGUUGUCGUCAGCUCGUGCCGUGAGGUGUCGGCUUAAGUGCCAUAACGAGCGCAACCCUUAUCUUUAGUUACUAACAGGUCAUGCUGAGGACUCUAGAGAGACUGCCGUCGUAAGAUGUGAGGAAGGUGGGGAUGACGUCAAAUCAGCACGGCCCUUACGUCCGGGGCUACACACGUGUUACAAUGGGGGGUACAGAAGGCGGCUACCUGGUGACAGGAUGCUAAUCCCAAAAACCUCUCUCAGUUCGGAUCGAAGUCUGCAACCCGACUUCGUGAAGCUGGAUUCGCUAGUAAUCGCGCAUCAGCCAUGGCGCGGUGAAUACGUUCCCGGGCCUUGUACACACCGCCCGUCAAGCCAUGAAAGCCGGGGGUACCUGAAGUACGUAACCGCAAGGAGCGUCCUAGGGUAAAACUGGUAAUUGGGACUAAGUC
rnacentral:rRNA from 1 species